rnacentral:rRNA from 1 species
AGAGUUUGAUCCUGGCUCAGAUUGAACGCUGGCGGCAUGCCUUACACAUGCAAGUCGAACGGCAGCACGGGGGCAACCCUGGUGGCGAGUGGCGGACGGGUGAGUAAUGCAUCGGAACGUGUCCUGUCGUGGGGGAUAACCAGUCGAAAGACUGGCUAAUACCGCAUGAGAUCGAGAGAUGAAAGCGGGGGACCGCAAGGCCUCGCGCGAUAGGAGUGGCCGAUGCCGGAUUAGCUAGUUGGCGGGGUAAUAGCCCACCAAGGCUACGAUCCGUAGCUGGUUUGAGAGAACGACCAGCCACACUGGGACUGAGACACGGCCCAGACUCCUACGGGAGGCAGCAGUGGGGAAUUUUGGACAAUGGGCGCAAGCCUGAUCCAGCAAUGCCGCGUGUGUGAAGAAGGCCUUCGGGUUGUAAAGCACUUUCGGACGGAACGAAAUCGCGCGGGCGAAUAUCUCGCGUGGAUGACGGUACCGUAAGAAGAAGCACCGGCUAACUACGUGCCAGCAGCCGCGGUAAUACGUAGGGUGCGAGCGUUAAUCGGAAUUACUGGGCGUAAAGGGUGCGCAGGCGGCUUCGCAUGUCAGAUGUGAAAUCCCCGAGCUUAACUUGGGGAAUUGCAUUUUGAAACUACGAGGCUGGAGUGCGGCAGAGGGAGGUGGAAUUCCACGUGUAGCGGUGAAAUGCGUAGAGAUGUGGAGGAACACCGAUGGCGAAGGCAGCCUCCUGGGCCGACACUGACGCUCAUGCACGAAAGCGUGGGGAGCAAACAGGAUUAGAUACCCUAGUAGUCC